UAGAUGAAAGCUCGUGGUUUGAGCGCUUAGCUGUUAACUAAGAGAUUGUAGGAUCAAGGCCUUCUCAUCUAG
rnacentral:tRNA from 1 species